rnacentral:lncRNA from 1 species
AAGGUGAUGAUUCAGUUGAUAAUAUAUUAAAUUUUUUUUUUAAUUAUCAUUCUGCUUUGGCCAAAGACUUCCAAAAUUAUCAUCUUAUAAGAUCACAUAGGAAGUUCGCUCUCCUUAUUAGAAGUGACUGAUCCCUUAUUAAUUACUCACAACCUCUAUGCAUACUUCACCAUAUCCAGAACACCCCACACAAGGAUCAAAAAACUAAACUAGGUAGUGAACCAAAAUAUGGAUUCAUAUACACAAGGUACCAUGGUAAUCUCAGGUCUAAGGAUCACUUAUACAACUUUCACUAGAGAAUCAUCAGUUGAUAUGUAAAUAAGAUUCCAUCUGAUAUUUUUUCACAGGUCAAUUCAGUGAAUUCAUUCUCUAAUGAGCACCCAUAUCUUUGUAUUAGUGUCACCACACAAGUGGUUGUGAGAUCCACCACACAAGUGGUUGUGAGAUCAACCACCCUCAUUUCUGAGCGUACAUAGGACAUACCAGUCUUAUCG